rnacentral:lncRNA from 10 species
CGCCCGCCCCGCCGGUGCGCUCCUCGGCCCGGACCGCCUCCGGGAGCGCCCACCCCGCCCCGCCGGCCCCAUCACCCCCGCCGCGGCCGCCCCCUCUCCGGGGCCCCUCUUCUCCCUACCUCGCCCCCCUUCCCGCUCCGGUCCUCUUUGUCCCCACUGCCUCGGAGCGCUCCUCUCUCCCCUCCUUUCCUCGGCCGAAGCGGACGCCAGCCCUGCGUCCCGUGUGUCCCACCCUCCUCCUGCGCGACCACAGCUUCCCCGGGCCCCAGCAUCCCCAAGCCGUCUGCUCCCUUCCUGUCGCUUUCCUCCCCAUGACCCCCUUCCUUCUUCAUGGGUGCCUGUCCCCGGGCCCCUCUCCUCGACCCCGCCUUGCCUUUCGAAUGUCCCCUGCGUGGACACACCUAACCCAGACGCCAACCUGCACGAGUGUCUCCCGGUAGCCGGGAGCCGGGACCCCAAGUUCACCUGUAGGAUUUCCCAGAAGGGGUGUUGGGGCCUGACCUUUCACAGAUCUGCAGACGAAGGUCCAAAGGAAGAAGAUUUUGUUGAAGACUGAAAAGAGAAAUAUACUUGGUGGACAGAGAUAACUCCUUUCAGCACAGAGGUCAGAUGACAAGGCUGCAGCAUGAAGAAGAUGCCAUAUUGUGGAAUUGGGUGUCAAGGAGAAGACAUUCGAAGGUGCAUGAACAGAGUGAAGGUGGUGCAAGCAAGUGCAGAGGAGGUGGGGAGACUGGAGUGCUGGGAAAAGGGUCAGCAGAAGCUAGCAAACAUGAAAGACACAACACAAAACAAGCAGUUGUGCAAAUUAGGAUGAUAAGGGGGGAGUGGUCAAAGGUGUGUUUCUCAUGGCUCAACCAGUGCAAACUCAGUCUUAUGACCCUACAUGACUGACUGCACCUGGCCUCUGCAUCCCUUCAGCCUCUUCCCCAAAAGGACUCCUCCUUAUUGCCAGCCACACAAGCCUUCCUUCAUUUCCUCUAACAGGCCAGACUUGUUCCUGGCUCCCGGUCUUGGCAUUCACUGUUUUUUCUGCCAUAGCUGGCUCCUUCCCAAACAUGGAAUCUCAGCCCAAACAAUAUCUCCUCUGAGACACCAGCCUUGAUCACCUUUAUACAAUACAGAUCUGCUCCUGCCCAUCACUUUCUAUCUCAUGACCCUACAAUGUGCCCCUUCGUGAUAGCUCACACCAGCUAAAACCAUCUUGUUUGUGGAUUGCUCACUUGCCCCCUGCCUGUCUCUAGCUCUAGGAGGUCGGCUCCCUGUCACUGUCUGGUCUACUGUGUCGUACCACCCAUGCCCAGCACCUAGCCUUGCACAUUAUAGGACUUAAUGCAAACUUCUUGACUGAAAGAAAAAUGAAGAAACUCAGCCUUGGGAGAGAAAACAACCAUUAAAUGAUUAUUUAAUAAAAUAGAGUAUUAAUCUAUUUUAUAUUAAUU